rnacentral:misc_RNA from 1 species
ACUAGGUAAUACAAAUUAGAGAUGGAAUGAAGCAUCAAAAGUAGUUAAGUUGUAUAAGUAACAACAUUAAUUGUCAAAAUCAGUAAUAAAAACGACAAAAAAUAAACCCGUCAUAAUCUUUAGCAAGGAUUGACGGGUUUAUUUCCGUAUCAAAAUCAAGCUACCGUCUUAAACGGUCUACCCGAGAGCGUAUGUCUAGUACGCUCUCUUCGUGUUUAUUAUACCAAGAUAUCACCUAAAAAGCUAGCCGCUAAAUCCUCAAUAGGAUCCAGCGGCUUUUUU